UACGUAGGGGGCUAGCGUUGUCCGGAACCAUUGGGCGUAAAGCGCGUGUAGGCGGUUCGGUAAGUCCGCUGUGAAAGUCGGGGGCUCAACCCUCGGAUGCCGGUGGAUACUGUCGGACUAGAGUACGGAAGAGGCGAGUGGAAUUCCUGGUGUAGCGGUGAAAUGCGCAGAUAUCAGGAGGAACACCAAUUGCGAAGGCAGCUCGCUGGGACGUUACUGACGCUGAGACGCGAAAGCGUGGGGAGCAAACAGG
rnacentral:rRNA from 1 species